CUCCAAUAGCGUAUAUUAAAGUUGUUGCAGUUAAAACGCUCGUAGUCUGAUGUAAUGGGGACUGGAGUGGGGAGCAGCGAUGCUCUGUGCUUUGGUCCUCAUCAGCGGGCCAGCAAUGGCCAGUUUACUUUGAGGAAAUUAGAGUGUUCAAAGCAGGCAAUUGCUUGAAUACUGCAGCAUGGAAUAAUGGAAUAGGACUC
rnacentral:rRNA from 1 species